GUGACGAAGCGACGCCGCGUGUGGGAAGAAGGCCUUCGGGUUGUAAACCACUGUCGGGAGUUAAGAAAUGUAAGGGUGUUAAUAGCAUCCUUACUUGACGUUAGCUCCGGAGGAAGCCACGGCUAACUCUGUGCCAGCAGCCGCGGUAAUACAGAGGUGGCAAGCGUUGUUCGGAAUUAUUGGGCGUAAAGAGCACGUAGGCGGCCCUGCAAGUCAGCUGUGAAAUCCUUCUGCUCAACGGAAGAACGGCAGUUGAUACUACAGGGCUCGAGUGCGGGAGGGGAGAGUGGAACUUCUGGUGGAGCGGUGAAAUGCGUAGAUAUCAGAAGGAACAUCGGCGGCGAAAGCGACUCUCUGGCCCGUAACUGACGCUGAGGUGCGAAAGCUAGGGGAGCAAACGGGAUUAGAUACCCCGGUAGUCCUAGCCGUAAACGAUGGGCACUAAGUAGAGGGGUUUU
rnacentral:rRNA from 1 species